rnacentral:lncRNA from 1 species
AGGCAUCAUAAAUACUACCAUCCACCUCAAAAGGUGUUAGGACGUGCACCAGUGCUUUGCAAUCUUUACCUUGUUGGGUCUCUAUAAUGACUCUAUGAGAAAGGCAUUAUUAUCCUCAUCUUUUCAGAGGAGAGAAAACCAAGAUUCAGAGAUGGACUUGCUCCAGGAAGAGCUGGAGAUCAAAGGGCAGGAGCUGAACCAGCCGUGGUCAUCCUCUACUCCGCGUAGACAGCACAUUCAGGGGAUCUGUCACUAUUUUGUGGCUGAACUGGGGAACAAUCGAAGAACGUGGAAGAUAGAUGGGGUACUGGUUGGCCUACAUCCGGAACAGAGGGUUGUCCCCAUGGUUGUUCCCAGGUGUUCCUGGGUCCCUCCACUGUACUGUGUCUGCCAGAGGCUGCUGCUCCUCAUCUCAUGGGUCCUCCUCCUUAGCAGCUCAUCAUAUUCCAGAAGACUCUCUUCUGGAGGGCCUGGAGGUGAAUGGAUCUGCUCAAGGUGGCCAGUGGAACGUGAACGAGAGCCUACAGGAGUCCUUGUGCCGAGGCCCCCUCUGUGCUGUGCCAUCUACUCUGGCUUCCCUUUCCCUGCAUCUGCCACCUCCAAACAAUAUGGGCCACAGGUGCAGCUUGCCAAGGAAGGCGUGAAGCAGGGAGGAAUGGGAACCCUGGUGUCCCCUCUGAGCCAGCUCCAAUGGGCUGCCGAGGGCUGCAGGGCUGCGUUACGAUGGAUCCAGAGGCUAAGUGGCCUCCAUGGGGACGCGUCCCCUGACCACUCUACCUGGCACGAGCGGGCUGCUGGCCACCCACAAUGGAGCUUCAGCAAAAGGGUCCUUCUCUGGGGGUGGAGUUCAGAUGUGAUGUAG